CCUAAAGCGAAUUUCGAAAAUUUAGAGGAAUUUUUGCAAGGAAUAGAAGGUAUAAAUAUAUACACCUAAUUUUUUAUAAAUUUUCGCUUUGAUAAUCUAAAGCAAUUUGUUACUUAUUAAAAAUAGUAAUAUAUAAUAGGUUUUAGAAUAUGGAGUAUGCUUUGCAUAUUUGUGAAAUUGAUUAUUUUAUAAAAGAUUAGAAAUUUAAAUUUGUUAUUUAUUCAAGGAGAGCCUAAUCUUGUCCAUUUUCCUCAAGGUAAAGAAUAUCCUUCGUGAUAUCCAGAUCCAAUUUCACAAAUCAAUUUUAAGACAAUUUACAGAAUAUAGCAAUUUAUUAUUUUAAUCGAAAGCUUUGAUACUUUUUGAAAAAAAAUUUAUUAAGAUAAAC